rnacentral:lncRNA from 1 species
UAUAGAAACUUUCACAGAAGCCCCUACAGACUCACACAACUCCAACAAAAAAGAUUUGAAAGCUACCAACAUAAUUAAAAUUAAAACUAAAUUCAAUGUGCUAUCAUUUUAUGAGGCACCAUAUGUGAGAAUUUUAACAUUAAAUGAAAUAUGAAUUUCAAGAUUCAGGACUGAAUAAACUGCCAGCCUAGGGAUGAAUAACUGCUCUUGCUAUUUUCUAAACAGUCAACAUUUCACUGUGUAUCUACACCUCACAAAAGACAUUUACAGAAUGACAAUACUUUAAUUCAUCAUGUAUAUCCAGCAAUGUUUGCUUAGUCAAAUGACUGUCUGUCAGGCAGGUUUUUUAAUAUUUUUCCUAGAAUAUUUCAAUACACUAUUUUAUAACAGUGGCUGGAAUAUUUUCAAUAUUACAAGUCUUUUAACAAGAAUGUUUAAACUGUUAACAUGACAUCAUAAUAAUUAUGGGAUCAAAUUAAAAACCCAGUCAUCGUCCUUCCUGCCCAAGCUCACAAUGUUUCCUAUCCCUAUUGUCUCCAAUUUAGGAUGGGAUACUAACGCCACAUAUAACCUCAAUCUUGAUUUUUAAAAUAAAACUGGAAUUAAAUUGUUGUGGUUGGGGACAGAGGGAGAGAAAAGACUAGAUAAUCAAAUUGCUUUUUCCCAAGGACUUCUCUCUUCCAUUUCUACCUCCCUACUCCCAUCUAGUCAGCAGAACAAAAAAACUGUUUUUUCCUUUUUUGAGACAGGUCUGUCACCCAGGCUGGAGUGCAAUGGUGUGAUCUUGGCUCACUGCAAC